GAACAAGGGCCUGCGAGAAUUC
rnacentral:misc_RNA from 1 species